GUGAUGUCAUAAUAUGCCUGGGUCUCCGCUUGUGGCGGAGAGGUCAGCUGCUCUCUUCCUGGAAGGAUGGGCUCCUUGGCUGCUCUUCACCGGUUACCAAGGCAACUAGACUGCAGAGGCUGAUGUGUUCCUGGAUGUGGCUCUGACGAUGGGAGUGCCCAGGGGGAGCAUACUGCUGGAGACAGAGGCCAUCAACACUGGAGACAACAUCUGCUUCUCCUACAGGCUUCUCAAGGAGAGAAACAUCCCAGGGUGAUCCUGGUCCAGCAGCCCUUUAUGGAGCGCAGGGUCUUUGCCACAUUCCUGCGGCAGUGGCCUGCCAUCGUUACCUCCCGCCAGAUGGGUGUCUCUGUCUACCACCACCCCAAUGUGGGCACUGCCAUGGAUCUCAUCACAUACAUGGUGUUCUAGAGAGGAUCUGUGACUACCCACAGAAAGGUUUCCAGGUGGAACAGGAGAUCACACCCAGUGCUCUCUCUGCCUACCACUGGUUCCUGCAGGCUGGCUACAUUCCCAAGUGAAUGCAACACACACACACACUUGUGCCUAUGUUUUGCUAUGGACAUGUUGAUGCUGCUGAUGGUUGGGAAUUGAACAUUAAAUUACAGUCAAUUCAUCUUUUGAGAAGAUGGUUGUUUCAUUGAUACUGUGACUUGAGACAUAUGAAAAUAUACCACAGAACCCAAUUUUUGCUAAUUGUAUAUCAGUGGAUUGAAUGCAGUU